GAUGAAGAACGUAGCGAAAUGCGAUAAGUAAUGUGAAUUGCAGAAUUCAGUGAAUCAUCGAAUCUUUGAACGCACAUUGCGCCCGUCAGUAUUCUGGCGGGCAUGCCUGUUCGAGCGUCAUUACGCCCCUCAAGUCCCCUGUGGACUUGGUGUUGGGGAUCGGCGAGGCUGGUUUUCCAGCACAGCCGUCCCUUAAAUUAAUUGGCGGUCUCGCCGUGGCCCUCCUCUGCGCAGUAGUAAAACACUCGCAACAGGAGCCCGGAGCGGUCCACUGCCGUAAAACCCCCCAACUUUUUAUAGUUGACCUCGAAUCAGGUAGGACUACCCGCUGAACUUAAGCAUAUCAAUAAGCGGAGGA
rnacentral:misc_RNA from 1 species